UACGUAGGGUGCAAGCGUUAUCCGGAAUUAUUGGGCGUAAAGAGCUCGUAGGCGGUCUGUUGCGUCUGCCGUGAAAACCCGAGGCUUAACUUCGGGCUGGCGGUGGAUACGGGCAGACUAGAGGUAGGUAGGGGAGAAUGGAAUUCCCGGUGUAGCGGUGAAAUGCGCAGAUAUCGGGAGGAACACCAGUGGCGAAGGCGACUCUUUGGUCUGUAACUGACGCUGAGGCGCGAAAGCGUGGGGAGCAAACAGGG
rnacentral:rRNA from 1 species